rnacentral:rRNA from 1 species
GAAAAUUACGAGCAUAAGCUUAAAACUCAAAAGAUUUGGCGGCGCUUUAAACCCCUAGAGGAGCUUGUCCUAUAAUCGAUUGUCCCCGCUAAACCUCACCUUCUCUAGCCCUCAGCCUACAUACCGCCGUCGUCAGCUAUCCCAAUGAAGGUUAUACAGUAAGCAAGACCGGCUUUACCCCCAAACGUCAGGUCAAGGUCUAGCUCACGAGAAGGGAAGAGAUGAGCUACAUUUCCUACUUAGGGCUUACAGAAAUCUUUUGAAACAAUAGAUGGAAGUAGAAUCUAGCAGUAAGUAAAAAAUAGAGUGUUUUACUGAAGCAUACCUUAAUACGCGCACAUACCGCCCGUCGUCCCCUCCUAAGUACUAACUUAAACAUUAAUAAAACCCAACAUCACUUAAAGGAGGGGAAAGUCGUAACAUGGUAAGUGUACUGGAAAGUGCACUUGGUUAAAU